rnacentral:rRNA from 1 species
AUUGAACGCUGGCGGCAGGCCUAACACAUGCAAGUCGAACGCGUGGCGGACGGGUGAGUAAUGUCUGGGACACUGCCCGAUGGAGGGGGAUAACUACUGGAAACGGUAGCUAAUACCGCAUACCAUCGGGUGUGCCCCGAUGGGUUUAGAUAGUAGGUGGGGUAACGGCUCACGUAGGCGACGAUCCCUAGCUGGGCUGAGAGGAUGACCAGCCACACCGGAACUGAGACACGGCCCAGACUCCUACGGGAGGCAGCAGUGGGGAAUAUUGCACAAUGGGCGCAAGCCUGAUGCAGCCAUGCCGCGUGUAUGAAGAAGGCCUUCGGGUUGUAAAGUACUUUCAGCGGGGAGGCGUUACUCGCAGAAGAAGCACCGGCUAACUCCGUGCCAGCAGCCGCGGUAAUUC